AUGUGUAGACCUUCACCGUGGAGUUUAUGCAAGAUCGCAUAUAGAAUAGAUAUAGCAUAUAUGGACAUGAGAGUGGAUGUCCUGCACGCAGCGGCAGCUGCACGCAGCUAUCCGGCCGCACCCGAGUUGCACGGUGAUGCGUGCAGUUUGAUUUGCAAAAGCGCUAAAGCAGUGAUACAUAGUGUAAUACAGAGAGAUACACUGCGUCGGGACCGUGCAGUGGGCUCGGUCCAUGGUACUUGUCUGGCGCGGACAAGAGACGUGCACCGCGCGUGGUGCAGAGUGGGCCAUCGGUUCUCUGCACGGCUGGCCCCGGUCGUCUGA
rnacentral:rRNA from 1 species